rnacentral:rRNA from 1 species
AACGAACGCUGGCGGCAUGCCUAACACAUGCAAGUCGAACGAAGGCUUCGGCCUUAGUGGCGCACGGGUGCGUAACGCGUGGGAAUCUGCCCUUGGGUUCGGAAUAACAGUGAGAAAUUACUGCUAAUACCGGAUGAUGACUUCGGUCCAAAGAUUUAUCGCCCAAGGAUGAGCCCGCGUAAGAUUAGCUAGUUGGUGAGGUAAAGGCUCACCAAGGCGACGAUCUUUAGCUGGUCUGAGAGGAUGAUCAGCCACACUGGGACUGAGACACGGCCCAGACUCCUACGGGAGGCAGCAGUGGGGAAUAUUGGACAAUGGGCGAAAGCCUGAUCCAGCAAUGCCGCGUGAGUGAUGAAGGCCUUAGGGUUGUAAAGCUCUUUUACCAGGGAUGAUAAUGACAGUACCUGGAGAAUAAGCUCCGGCUAACUCCGUG